rnacentral:rRNA from 1 species
AUUGAACGCUGGCGGCAGGCCUAACACAUGCAAGUAGAACGAGAGGCGGACGGGUGAGUAAUGUCUGGGAAACUGCCUGAUGGAGGGGGAUAACUACUGGCAACGGUAGCUAAUACCGCAUCCCAUCAGAUGUGCCCAGAUGGGAGUGGCUUGUUGGUGGGGUAACGGCUCCCAAAGGCGACGAUCCCUAGCUGGUCUGAGAGGAUGACCAGCCACACUGGAAUUGAGACACGGUCCAGAAUCCUACGUGAGGCAGCAGUGGGGAAUAUUGCACAAUGGGCGCAAGCCUGAUGCAGCCAUGCCGCGUGUAUGACGAAGGCCUUCGGGUUGUAAAGUACUUUCAGCGGGGAGGCGUUACCCGCAGAAGAAGCACCGGCUAACUCCGUGCCAGCAGCCGCGGUAAUUC